UACGGGGGAUGCAAGCGUUAUCCGGAAUCAUUGGGCGUAAAGCGCCUGUAGGUUGUUUACUAAGUCUGUUGUUAAAGACUAGGGCUUAACCCUAGAAAAGCAAUGGAAACUUGUAGACUAGAGUAUGGCAGGGGUAGAGGGAAUUUCUAGUGUAGCGGUGAAAUGCGUAGAUAUUAGAAAGAACACCAGUGGCGAAAGCGCUCUACUGGACCAUUACUGACACUCAGAGGCGAAAGCUAGGGUAGCAAAAGGGAUUAGAUACCCCUGUAGUCCUAGCCGUAAACGAUGGAUACUAGAUGUUGUGCAUAGUACAGUAUCGUAGCUAACGCGUUAAGUAUCCCGCCUGGGGAGUACGCUCGCAAGGGUG
rnacentral:rRNA from 1 species